rnacentral:rRNA from 1 species
UACGUAGGGUGCAAGCGUUGUCCGGAAUUAUUGGGCGUAAAGAGCUCGUAGGCGGUUUGUUGCGUCGGCUGUGAAAUCCCGAGGCUCAACCUCGGGUCUGCAGUCGAUACGAGCAAACUAGAGUGUUGCAGGGGGAGACUGGAAUUCCUGGUGUCAGCGGUGAAAUGACGCAGAUAUCAGGAGGAACACCGGGUGGCGAAGGCGGGUCUCUGGGCAACAACUGACGCUGGAGGAGCGAAAGCGUGGGGAGCAAACAGG